UUUAUUAUUAUUAUUAUUUUGUUUCGCUUAUGCACACAAACACACACAUAUAUGAGUUUAUGCUUUUAAGAAAUCGCAUUAAAUUCAGGUAGUUAACUCUGGUCUAAUUUGCUUUAUUCUUGAAGGCGGGUUACAUGUUUCUAAUUUAAGUUGAACUCCAUGUUGAUAUUUGUUAUCCUUAUCAGGCCUACUAGUGAAUUUCCCCAUCUUCUGUCUCGUGUUAAGCAACCAGUUGCUUAUAAA
rnacentral:misc_RNA from 1 species